AGUGAACGCUGGCGGUAGGCCUAACACAUGCAAGUCGAACGGCAGCACAGUAAGAGCUUGCUCUUACGGGUGGCGAGUGGCGGACGGGUGAGGAAUACAUCGGAAUCUACUUUUUCGUGGGGGAUAACGUAGGGAAACUUACGCUAAUACCGCAUACGACCUACGGGUGAAAGCAGGGGAUCUUCGGACCUUGCGCGAUUGAAUGAGCCGAUGUCGGAUUAGCUAGUUGGCGGGGUAAAGGCCCACCAAGGCGACGAUCCGUAGCUGGUCUGAGAGGGUGAUCAGCCACACUGGAACUGAGACACGGUCCAGACUCCUACGGGAGGCAGCAGUGGGGAAUAUUGGACAAUGGGCGCAAGCCUGAUCCAGCCAUACCGCGUGGGUGAAGAAGGCCUUCGGGUUGUAAAGCCCUCUUGUUGGGAAAGAAAAGCAGCAGGUUAAUACCCCGCUGUUCUGACGGUACCCAAAGAAUAAGCACCGGCUAACUUCGUG
rnacentral:rRNA from 1 species